rnacentral:rRNA from 1 species
AUGGUCGACGAAAGAAUUAGAAGGUGGAGGAAUUACUUGACACAUGAUGAUGAGAUGGAUGUUGCAUUGCUUGAAGUCCUUGUUGAGCAUCACAACAAUGGUGGCCAUGUCCAAAAUGAAUGUAAACCACAUGUGUACACUGCUUCCGUAAAGCAUGUGAAGGACAAGUGCAAUAAGGAUAUCACAAAGGAGAGCAUAAGUGGAAAGCUGAGGACUUUCAACAAGCACUAUAAGGUUAUUAGCCAGAUCAUUUCUCAAAGUGGUUUUGGUUGGGGUUGGAUAAAUAAUAAGCUAUCAAUGGAUAAUGAUAAUGUUUGGGCUACGCUAACUAGGAACACAAGGAGAUAAAAGUCUUACAAGACCAAAGUUAUCAAGAACCCAGAGUCCAUAGCUACCAUAUAUUCUCAAGACCAUGCUAAUUGUGAUGGCGGCAAGAAAAAUGUUGGGACUGCUGCAAAGCAAUUAGUAGAACCAAUUGAAGUCUCUCCAUAAUUUGCGCCAAAGAGAAAACCAACUUUGAAAUGUGAUGCUACUCUUUGCAUGCUUGGAGAUAUGAAGAAUAAUAUAGUUGGUGCUUUGAAGACAACUGAGCGCAUUCCACCACCAAAGGUUAUUAUUCCGGUUGAAAAACUUGGUGCACUUAAGUUGAUACCUGAUUUAGCUGAGCAAGACAUUCUGCGAUGUUGUGGGAAAUUGGUACUCAAUGAUCGUCUGUUUCAAGCUCUAAUAGAGCUGCCCAUCACGACGAGUAAGACAUGGCUGGUAAAGUUGCCUUGA